rnacentral:piRNA from 1 species
UAGCCUGGCUUAUUGCACCUUCCUUUUGGC